rnacentral:lncRNA from 1 species
CAUAUAUACAUAUAUCCUUAAGCCCAUGACUUGUGCAUACUUAUAUUGAGCUAUUUAUCAUUUAAAUUUAUAUUUUUGUACUUUGUUACAUGUUAUCCUGUGUUUCUUAAUAUGAAUAACAAGGAUAUGUAAAUAGAAAGUACUAGGCUUAAAGGGCUUUAGUAUUGUUUGAAAUCAAAAUGAAAUACUUAAAUUUGCUAGAUCUGGAGUGCAGGCUUGUGAUGCUUCAGAGUCAGAAACUAAUAACAAGGGAACUUGACAAUAGAUGGUUUUUCCAAUAUUCAAUUGUCAUUUAGGCUAGUUUGAGAGAAACCAUAUGUGACUAGGACUAUAAAGGAAUUGAGAUUCUGUGAAGCUCAGAAUGAAGAUGGGAAUGUAGAAGACGAAGCUGUAAAUCUCGGAAAUAGUUGGCUGUAACUCCAAGAAACAGUUGAUAGUGCUUCUCAAAUGUUCAUUAAAAAUUUAAAAUAGUCUUAAUAAUUUAGCUUCUUUGAUCAAUGAGAAAUUUUAGUGGUCUGAGGAUUUUCCAACUUAGUUAUAUCCAGAACAGUGGAGAAUAUAUUGUUUAGUACUUUUUUGCAAGAUAAAUCCGAAAACAACCCCACAAGUGUAUCUAUUUUAGUUUAUGAUAAACUCAUAAGUUUUAGCAAUGUUGUAUAAGACAGUCACCAUAUACAAGCAGUUAAUGUAUUAUUUAGGGCAUAUGUUUAUGAUAUAUUUCAUUCAAAUGGAGCUGCAACAAAGAAGGUUAAGAUUCUUUUUUUUUAAGCAGCAAUAAACAAGCAUAUAUUAUUGUGAGCAUUCACUGUGUUUACUCUGUAGAUCGUCCUGUACUAAUUAACCCAUACUUUUCUAAUGUUGACUUCAUGUCAUCUGCCAAUGGCUGCUUUUCUUUCUUAUAAAUUGGUAUUUUUUUAGGGUGGGAGUUUUUAAACAAGUAGAACACUCUUGAAGCAGCCUUACUGUAACUCACAACAAAAUAAGAAUUGAUUAUAUGAUAAGCAAAGACAUUUAUCAAACUAUUUAAAUAGAAAAACUGAAUGACAACUAUAGAACUAUUUUUUUUCACUUCUAAGAGCUGGACCAACAGCUUGUUGCUGUAAGUAUUACUUACCAGUGUAAGUUAGCUUGUUGCUCCAGCAUACCUCUAUGAUGUGAUGUCAAAAUUUUUGCAUACCUCUCAGCUUCAAGUAUUCAACCAAUUUUUGCAUUGGUAAUCAGCUCUCAAUGUAAAUUCUUCUGUGUAUAAUGUCAAAAUGAUGCUUUCCUAACCUUGAUUGGUAACAUAUAUGUAUCUUCUUUCAACUAUAGUAUAUUUUUUUUGUCAUUAAUGGCUUAAAUUGCUAAUCGUUGUACCCCUGUUUAUCUAGUUAGAUUAAUUUUCAUAUAGAAGUUUCUUUUGCUGAGUGGUGUUUCAUCUUUCUUCCAUUUUUCUUUUGCUGGUGUUUCAACUUUCUUCAACUCUUGUGGAUAAUUUUUCUGUUUCAUUCUCUUGAAGUUUCUUUUAUGUUUGACUAAACGUUUGUGUUCCAUGGUUCUAGUGUUGGCUAAUCCUUUUUUAUUGGUAUCAUCUAGCAUGAGCUUCAAUUUUCAGUGAGUUAAUGCAAACUAAGUUUUUCAAUUAAUAUCCUAAAAGAUAUUGUUCAAAUAAAUUGGCUUCACAUGAAAUCCUAUUGUGUUAAGUAGAGUUUUUACAUAUAUAUUUCUGAUUAGAUGGAUGCACCAAAACUUUAAUUAGUCUUGUUACCAAAGUUCGUAAUUUUGUAUCGUACUAUUGUUUCGAGCUUUGCUCGGUACGAUACGGUGCAAGCGUACUGAGCGGUACGUUAGGGUGUACCACUCGGUACGUGUUUAUAUAUAUAUAUAUAUAUAUAUUAUAAAAAGGAAGUGUACAUUGUCUCAGCAACGUUGCCUCCUUUUCUUCUCCUCGUUGCAUCAGAUGAGGAGAAGAUCGGUCUUCUCCUCAUCUUUGACUUUCAGCGAAGGCGACGAAGGCCGUAGGGGUCUUCGACCUUCGACAAAGAAGAAGCCGAGCCGUCGUCUCUCUGUUACCUUCUAGAUCAAGAUCAUCGAGGGAGGGCGGCGGUUGAUCGAAAAGCGUCAAGGUUCUCCUGAUUCUCCCUCGAUGCUUCUUCUUCCCUCGUCGCAGCCAGGUUGAUAUUGCCCGGUAACGGGUGGUCCACAUACCGGUCUGCUGACGGAUCGAUACGUACUGUCUUAUAUGUACCACUCGGUAUAGGUGGUAUCAUUCGAAAUUAAAAUCCUUGCUUGUUACUAUCAUAUUUUAUUGAUCAAUAUAAGGCCAGCGACAAUGUUCCUAUUUUUUAUUUUCAUUUUUGUUUCUUGCAAACACCAUCAUAAGUUUUGUUUGAUGUAUUUAUAUAUAUGGUGUAUUGUAGUUUUUCCUGCUAUUUCAAGAAGAAAGGUUUAAGAUUCUUUUCCUUGUUUCUCCCAGGACAUUCCUCCAAGAAACCUAAAUUUUCCAAUCAAUCCACCUACUCUUCUUUUGCUUUAAUAUUAGCUUUUGAAGGUAAUUAGUCAAUAAGGUGGAUGAUCAUCUACAAGCUGCAGAUUUGCUACUGCUAUGUGCAUUUUGGUCAUUUACCUCCCAAUUUAUCCACCUAGAUCUCAUUUUCCCAGUCAUUGACUGAUACUUAUUUCAUUCUUUAAAUGUGUACCUACCCCUACUGUCAUUCUUUAGUUGGCAAUGCCUCUCUUUUCUAGAGUUGGUUAAACCGAAGCUUGGUCUUCUCCUUGUGAUGUUGCUGCCUCCAUGGUUGGGAAGAUCAUUAUGAUAAAAUAUAUCCUUGAUCAUAGUAUUAUAAGUUGGCAUUGUGGAACUUGUAUCAUCUUGUAUGUUCCAAGUCUCCUCAAGUUGCUCACUUUCAUCAAAUUGUGGAACUUGUAUCAAAUUGUUCACUUUCUUCAAAGAUGUAUAGUUCCUCUAAACUCCACCUGCAGUCUCAUCUUAGUCCUUUGGAAUACAGUGUUAUCUUUGUGCUUGCUUCACUUUGAAUUCUAUAUUUCACCAUGUUGGUUUUCAUGACUUGUUUUAUACUGUUUUUUAUUCAUGACUUUUGCAUGAGGUUCUUGCUCAAGUGGAGGGUUCAUGCAUUAAAACUUGCUCCUAACUUUUGACUAGAGGCCAGCUUAGACUUAUGGGCAUGUGAUGGUUGACACUUCCCUAGACUUAUUCAUGUUCAAACCUUCCCGGCUCACAAAUUAUUAUCUUAUGACAGUAGGUAACAUUUUGCAUCAAGGUUCAAAUUUCUACAUGCUCCAAAAUUUGAUUUGCAGCAAAUACGGUAUAUAUAUAUAUAUAUAUAUAUAUAUAUAUAUAUAUAUAUAUANNNNNNNNNNNNNNNNNNNNAGUACUAUAUAUAUAUAUAUAUAUAUAUAUAUAUAUAUAUAUAUAUCAGAACAUGAUGAAUGUCGUCGGUCCUUGUAUUAUUAUUUUUCCCUUACCGAGAAGAUAAAAAGUGCACGUUGCUAACGUGUCGAUGUCGGGGUAAUCCAAGCCACAAAAGAUCUGGCGAUUCGGUCGCUCAACCCAUCACCGUCCACCACGUGUACUAUCCGAUUGGUCAGACACGUCGGCUCCCGAAUCUUCGAGAACGAGAACCGGAUCGAAGUUUCUCCUCCUAGUCGCCUCGCCCGAAUCAUUGCUCGCCGUUGGAUCAUGUCUCGGGUACACCGACUCCUUUCAACCCGUUGCGUUUCUUUACCUAUCUAACUGCUUUCCGCUCCCUCGGCGAUGUCCUUUUCUAUAUUUAUAUAUGUAUUACUGUUUCUCAAUCGAAACUUCUGGAAAGUUUCAAUAUCUUCCCGCAGCUUUUCGCGAGAUGGCUCCUGCGGCGGAGCCGGCCGAGGAACGGGCGGCGGAUGGGCAGCAGCGGGCGCUGCCGACGCCGUUCCUGACGAAGACGUACCAGCUGGUGGACGACCCCGAGAUGGACGACGUGAUCUCGUGGAACGAGGACGGGUCGACGUUCGUCGUCUGGCGGCCGGCGGAGUUCGCACGCGACCUCCUCCCAAAACACUUCAAGCACAACAAUUUCUCCAGCUUCGUUCGCCAACUCAACACCUACGUAUGCCUAAUCUUCGACCGUGUCCUUUUAUUCUUAUUAUUGAUGUGUUUUUGAGUAUUUUGGGGACUUUCGAUAGGGAUUUCGGAAGAUCGUGCCGGAUCGAUGGGAGUUCGCCAACGAUUACUUCAGGAGAGGCGAAAAGCGCCUCCUCCGCGAGAUCCACCGCAGGAAGGCCGUUACGGUGGCGCCACAGCCGGCCCCUGCCGCCGCGGCGAGCAGGAUGACGGCGCUGGUAAGCCGAGCCAGAUCGCCGACGAACUCGGGGGAGGAGCAGGUGCUGUCGUCCGACUCCUCUUCCGGGCCGUUUCCCACGGUGGCCGUGGGUCCCUGUGGCGUCGCGGAGCUGGGGGAGGAGAACGAGCGGUUGAGGAAGGAGAACGAGCGGCUCGCCCGGGAGGUGGCGCAGAUGAAGAGCCUGUGCGGCCAGAUCGCGUCGCUGAUAUCGAGGCACGUGUCGGACCGGCAGGAAGGUGGCGGAGGUGCUGAGGCGGCUCCGUUCCUGGAGCUGAUGCCGGCGAGACCUGGGGCGGAGGAGGCGUUCUACAACGAGGUCGAAGAGGAGGAGGACGUGAAGCCGGAGGAUGCCACGUCCGAGGAGGUGCCUCCCUCCCCGCCGGGAGCGAGUCCGAGGCUCUUCGGGGUGUCGAUCGGCGUGAAGCGGCCUCGGUCGGAGGACGGCGAUGGCCCGCCGCCGAUGUUGAAGCCGGGGCCAACGGAAUCGGCGGGGCUGGACCCUAACGAGGUUUAUCCAGAGCGCCGCCCCCAGCAUCCGCGGGUGAUCGACUGCCCCGAGCCGACGCGGAGGGCGUGUAACGUACCAGACUGGGCCGAUCGCGGCGGCGAAGAGCGCGACGACGAGGCGCGCACGUGACGCGAGCGGGCCAUCACGUGUUCCGAUGUUACACGGAAGCUAAUGAAUUAAUUUAGAAUAUAUUGUAGGUAUUUAAUUUAUAAUAUAAUAUUGUUUACUUUAGGGCUCUCUGUUGUUGUUGGAAACGUCUCCUCCCUUCUUUACUUUUAUACGUUUCUUUUGGAUUAUUAAUCGGCCGCCGUUUGGAUUAUUGCUGUUGUUAUUGUUUCUAAGGUGGGCGCGGAUCGAUCCGUGUGGGCGAGGCUUCAACGCCGGUACGCGUUAUGCUCGGCUUUUCCAACCUGUAAGAAGUCUUCUGUACCGAGUCAGAGCCUUGAGCGUCUUUCGAUUCCCAAGCAGCGGGCGAUCGAGUCAGUGUAAGAAUCUCUCUUUGCAUCGCCUUCAUUUAUGUGACAUGUAUGCUUCAGAAUUUUCUACGGCUAUUUUAGGGUCAAAAUCUUUGGCAAAACGUUGCUUAGAACUGUAGGAAUUAGGUAUGAUCCCAACAAAAGAUAAAACUAGAAAAUUUAUUUAUAAUUGAUAUAGAAAAUAUCGAUGAUGAGUGGAUCAAUUCAACUUGUCAUAUUUGUAUGCCAUGCCAUAUUUCAAUGCCCAUGUCAUAUUUCAAUUCCCCCAUAUUACACUCAUCUAAAGGUAGAGACAAAAAGACGUGCGCUAUCCUUGUCAUCAACUUUUUCUUGCUGGCAUCAUACACGCUCAUAAGAUUCAUUCUUUCGAAUCAAAUGCUUUUUCGUGUAGUCGUCGUACAAAAAUAGACCAUGUUUUUAUUGUUGGUGGAAGUUUCAUAGCUCGUAUGAUGAUUCUUUUCUACGACCACAUCAUCUUUUUUGUUCAUCGACUUGGCAUGCAAACUACCAAUCUCUCGCUAGGCAACUGUCCUCUGGUUUCUAUUAUUAGGGAAGGAGUUAAGUGUGGUUGGAUAGAAUCAUAAGUCCGUCUGUUGACCGGUGACUCGAUUAUUCUAUAUUGGACGUAAAAUUAAUGACAAGGCACAGAAUUUUGGGAAAGACUAGGUCAAAAAAUUUGACUCGCCUAUCCAAUCUCCACAAGAAAUCAAACCUGGUUACACGGAAUCCACGUAGGAAAUCGCCGCAAGGCUUCGUUCCCACUUCGUCCUACCUUCCCACGCGCUGCGUAUAUAGCGGCACCAACGCCACGAACCCCAUACGAGCAGCAAUGGAGAGGACCGCGACCACCGUAGAGAUCACCAUCAUCUCGGCCGAGGAGCUUCGCCGCGGCCGCCGUCCGCUAGACAAGGGCGCCUUCGUGGCCGUCCGUUCCGGCUCCGACACGCACGGCCAAGUCGCCACCGGCGUCGACCGGGACGGCGGAGGCUACCCCUGUUGGAACGAGAAGCUCACGAUGACGUUGCCGCCGUCGGCACGGUCACUGUCGCUGGGGGUCUACUGCAGGAGCAAGAUGGGCGCUGGGGCCGCGUGCGCGGUGGCCGCGGCGGAGGUUCCGGUGUCGGACUUCCUGUGGCUGGAGGACUACCUGCACUUGCUCAGUUACAAGCUGAGGGACAGCAACGGUGUGGGCAAUGGGAUCAUCAACUUCUCCGUUAGGGUUAUCGGCGGCGAGGGGAAACGUGGUGCGUGCCAUUGGGGGUAGACGGUGGUGUGGCUGUUGGAUAUCCCGUAGGUUAUUACAAGUUAGAUUAUGAUUAUUUUUCUUUGGUUUACAUGCACAUAAUCAAAUUCUAAAAACAAAUAAAUUAUUAUGGUUGAUCUUUGUUUUGCGAAUGAAGUAAUUAAUUCUUUACUUCGGGUAUCAUUUUAUUCUAUUUGAUGUUAAUUUUAGGACUAAUUAUAGAUUAUUCUACUUAUCUAUAACCUUUCGAUCUUCAUAAUUAUUUUGGGAAGUUUGAGUGUACCAAAAUGACAGUAAAACCUACUAUCUGGGUUGAGUAUUACUGUCGGCGCAUAAAUAAUAUAUUUUGACUUACGUAUGUGUUGGGGUAAACAACUUUAAGCCGUGGCCUCGGGGUUGACACGGCUUGGUUCGGGUCUGGAUGAUGGGGGUUCUUCCCGGGGCGGCCCUCGAGACCGCUGAGGUGGCCGAUUGCGAUGGUCCAAUCGAGACGGGGUUGAUGUUUCCUCCGGGAGGGAACUCCUCGCUCGUGCGUUUAGUGGGAGGCCUCCGUCUUCGCACCUGCACAUAGGUCGGGUCGGGGGAGCUCAGCCCGACCCCUCCGACGAUCAAGUUAGUGAAUAGUCGUAGGGGAUUUUUUAUCUAUUGUAUUCUCCCUCCUUUUCCUCGAAGCGCGAGGGUUUUUAUAAUGAGGGUUACCGUUGCCUGAUGCGCUUGCCCGUGGGGAGCAGGAUCGUACUUCUGGUAGCGUCUGACAUCGAUGUUGGCGUGGCGUGAGGGGAUCGAGCUUGAGCAGGGUGUUAAUGUGCCUUGGUCGGCGUUUCGAUCCGCGUUGACCAGGCGCUGACAGGUCAACAGAGGCAUGAGGCGUCAUCUGGGGCAGCUGACGUCACCCGAGUCUUAUCGCCAUUAUUACCCUCAUCAGUAUGUUUUCCACUGUAGAUCAGCACUCCAACAUCCUAUACAAAGUAAGCUAAAUAAAACUAAUCAACAUAUUUAGACAAGUAUGAACUAUACAGUUUGAAAUGCAACCUAUAUGGCAAAAUCUUAGUUUAGGUGUACUUUAAUGAUGUAGAAUACCAGCGAAUGUGAGAAUUUUCAAGUUUCAGCAGCUUUUUGGGAAACCUUCAUGUAUACACAGAACCUUUUUUGUGCACUGGCUAGAAAUUCUCGAGUCCGAUGCUUGAAUGGGAUUAAUCAUUAAUACUGCCGUUAGUAUAGGAGGCUUUCCUGGUUCGUCAUUGUUUCUAGAGUUCUUUGUAUCAACAGUUCAUAGAGACACUUCUCAAAAUUCUUUUGUUGUUAUGAGAUUUUAAAUCAUACCAAUAGACUCCAAGGGUUGAAGCAUUGUUUUCUGGAGUCAGUUGUUCAUGUUUUGUAAUUCUUGACUUUUUAAGUUGUUUCAUGUUUCCGGCAAUUAAAGUUUUAACAGGAAAUCCUGAUUUGCUUUAGAGCGAUUUUGAUAUGUUCUCGAUUUCUAUAGAAUUAGUAUAAAAAAAAGAAAAAGGUCACAUCCCUACUAACUCGAGUUAAUAAGAUAAUCUCCUUCUGGAUUACUAUUUCGUGAGGAUGACUACCAUCAAGGUUGUUGACAUCGUGAAAGACGACAUCAUCUUAUUGAGAGAAUAUCUCAAUUUAUCCCUGAGAUGACAUCGAGAGUCGAUCGCAUAUGACUCGGUCCACAUCGGCUCCUCGGUGACCGCAAGUUGGCGUGAGAAUAUUUUCUAUCAUUCGUCCCCCUGAAGGCGUAUAUCGGGACCUCGUAAAGGGUUCGAGACACAUCAUCAAGUGUUCAUAUUAGUCUUGGGCCCUCUUUUUCAGCUACACUUGCGGUGCCCUUCGGGACACAAUUUUCCUCUAACCUCGUCAUGACUGUUAAGAUCGUAAAAGGCACGGCGAGGGGGGGUGUGGGCUGUUAGGUCUAAUCAGAUGUCUAAGAACGUUCUGAUGAUGUUUCACCUUAUAGAUCCACUAAUGAAAUCAUUGUCUCAUAUUGUGUUUGAGUAUUAUAGGAGUCUAAAGAGGACUAGAUACGUAGGUGAUUGAUUUUAGAUCGAGUGAGAGAUUACUAAUUAUAUAUACUUUACAAGUCAAUCACGUGAGUGAUAGCACGUGCGACACAAUAUGCAUUCUUUUUUACUUAUUAUUUAUUUGAUAAUUUUCUCACUUUAUAUUGCUUGUUACAUAUAUUAUAAUGUCUUUGGAUUUAUACAAAAAUCAUUCUAAAUUCUAAAUGAUAAAUCAAUCCAUCCAACAACUUAAUAAAUAACUAAUUCGAGGGAUAUUAAAAAAAAAAUAGAGGGUUACGAAUUGAAAUCACGACAGUCUAGAAUCGAUUCCAUUGUGAUUUCAAAUUCCAUACAAUCAGGAUCGUCGAUUCUGAAACUAAAUUCGUCGGUUCUGAUAUUGAGAUCAGAAUUAUAGAUAAUCAAAUACUCAAACUGAUUUGGAAACGCGUUGGAUAUUGACCGCUCUCACUGUAGGUGGAAACGACGCAUGAUGAGAUCAGAUGGGAGGCUUUUACCGAGAAACUUUUGUCCACAAUAUCGCACAAGGAAUUGAAGUUGGAUUACGCACACGACAUGACUAUGUUCGGCGUUGAGAAGACUGCAAUAGAGGGAAUCAAUUACGAUGGUCGUGCAAUUAUAUAUAUAUAUAUAUACUAGAGUAUUUUUCUAAUUAAUAACAAUGAUAGAUGAUACUGACCUUCAAACCCCUCCUUUUUCUUUUUGGUUUGGAUCCAAUCAUGGAGCCAUGCCAUCCGACCAAUUCAUUCGUUCGUUCCAUGUCAAAUCAAAUGAGUCACAGGAGUGGUAAUUAGUACUUCCCCGACGUCAAUGAUUGAUGAUAGUAAAGUCCUUAAAAAUAUUAAUUAUUUUAUAGUAAGAUCUUUAAAGGAUAAACUCUUAAAAAAAUAAAUCCUAUAUUUUCAGUUUUCCUCUUGGAACACUUUUUUUUAUUUUUAUAAAAUAUUUUUUUAUUUUCUAAAAAAUAAGAUUAUCAUUUGCCUUCAUCCCAUCGAUUAUCGUCUUCAACUCUCGUUUAUUGAUGUUGUUGUACAUUUGUCGAUUGUCUCCACUUUUACCCUCGCUCUCUCAUGCCUCUUCUCAUCGUCCAUUCGUGAUUCCCAUCGUCUCUCUUUAGCCUAAACUAUCAUGUCCUCCCACGAUGAGAAGGACUUCCUCCUCUUGUGUCUUUCUCACUCUCGUUUCCUUCGUUCCCUUGUUUUCUCCGUCACAAUUUGUCACCUCUACGCCAACAUUGACAUCAUUUGCUCACUCUCUCAUCUACUUCUACUUACAAUAGUGAUAACGAGACGGAGGCAAGAACUUAGAAUGCUUUGACAACAAUGAACGAGAUAGUAAUCAGGGAACAAUGGCGAGAGUGACAAAAUUGAAGUCGAAGGCUACGACAAAAGGUGAAAGAUGCCACGAAAAGGCCACCGGAUAAAAAAAAAAAAAAAGAGACAUCUCGUGAGGAAAAAUAAAAAUUAAAUAUUUUUUUAAAGACUUUACCCAUCUUUAAAUUGAAUAUUGUUUUCACCUAAAUAAAGUUUCUCUAACGUUUUUUUCCACCAUCAAGAAUGCCUUUCACCCGGGACCCAUAACUCGAACGUAAUGUGGUCAAAAACCAGAUGAUAUCUCGUAUCAAGGUAAAAUAAUUCCAUAUCUUCAAAGCCAAUAAGUCCCUUAACGUGAUAUUUGCUCACAUCUUUGCGUAAUGAUGCAUAAAUAUGGGAUGCAAUAAUAGUAGUGAUAGCAAGUACUUGCAAUAAUGUGGUGAAGGGACCCUACGAAGCUGUCGAAGCGGCAGCAAACAAUAAUGUCUUUCUCUAAAUGCAUGCAUUCCUCGAGGGUGUGGGUCCACAUUUUACCUCACCAAUCAACGCAGAGGUGGCAAAGCCAGACAGGUCACAUGGUCGGUCAUUGUACCCACUGAGGUCAACCCAUUGACUCGCACCCGAUCUGCUGAGUCGUACGACCCAGAGAAGAGUUUAUCUCUCAAUGUUGAUUGGUCAUCCCCGGAGGCCUCCCACCAUAGAAGCCAGUGAGCACUCGCCGAAGAUACGCAGACGACGUGCUCGCGAGGGGCCAGUCCACGAGACAUCGGAGUGGCCUCUAAACGAUCAUGUCUGCAGUAGAACACACCACUUGGGUCUUCCACCAAAUCAUAGCCAAUGAUGUUCCACCUCUCUGAAAAGUCGUCACUGAAGCAAUGAGGCAGGCCGUAAUUAAUCUUUUAGGAUGACACAACAGCUGAAAGAACAUAAGGAGAAACAUACCUGGUUUGAUCUGGAUCAUAUGCAUAUGACAUGCAUGAACAUGACAGCAAAAAGUAUCCAAAUGAAACCCGUUUUGUUCUAAGCAGCUGAAAUUUACCUGCUUUCAUUUAAACUAGCAGCCAGAAGGAAGCAGAAGCACAAGAUAUCUGAGAUCCUGCAAUCUGUAUUCAUACUACACCAGUUAGAACCUACAGAGACAGCAAGACUGAAUCAAAAAAGAGAUGAUCACCCAAAAUGCAAGGCUUGUUAAAGAGCUGAUGGACCAGGUCAAGACGAUCAGCAAUCCUUCAACAAAGGAAGCAACUUGUAGCCUUUUCUGCGUUAGGCUAGCCGUCCCCAUCGAGGCCUGCCUGCAGCCGUCCCUCACAAUGACCACCUUUGUUCACUUGUGCCGGUAAUCUUACAUCGGUUAGCAUCUGCAAUCUAAUAUCUGGACCUGACCAACUUGCACAUCUUUAUUUAAUGAGAGUGCAAAGAACACGGUUACAUAUGGCAGCAAGCAGCUUCUCUCUCCCAAGACUGAGAUGGUCCAUGCAGGCAUCUAUAAUUCCAUGGACAGAGGUGGACCAUAGCCAAAAGUUCAAAAGAGCCAGUCAUACCUGUGUAUGAUUACCGUCUGGAAGUCAAGGUACCCAAAAUUGUUGAUUAAUUGAGCAGUUGGGGUGUUAAAAAGGGCAUGAGAGCCUCAUGAGAUGUCAGAGUCCAAGGCCUGUGGCAAGAAAGCUGUGUCUUCUUCGGGACUCCGAUCAUAUCCAUGGCAGUCUCUUCCCUCCCACCGACGAAACGU